UCAAGAGCUUAACUCCGAGCUAUCCCGCCUAAAGCGAAAUGCCAUGGUGGCUUAGCCGUUAGGGUAAACAGGGAAACAGGUUUGCCUCCAUCAUGAGGAAAGGAGCGGUAUUAUAUUUAUA
rfam:Syntrophomonas wolfei subsp. wolfei str. Goettingen, complete genome.